AGUCGUGGCGAGGAAGCGCGGACUAGGGCGCGCUUGCUGCUCUCCAACAACGUCUGGACCCGGGGAUUGAGGGCGGCCGAACCCCCUCCCGUCCCUCCAUCUCCACCUUCUCUGUGCUUGGGUGCACCCUGUGGAUAGAGCCGGCCUGAGGGACCGCAGACUCGUCGGGCUGCUUUCUGAUGAGAGGAUUAAUAAACAACUGCCGGCUGCGACCAUUUUCCAGGACAGGCAUCUUCUACGCGCAGGCCACGUCGGGCCUCCCCGGGCUCUGGCUGCCUGGAAGUGCUCCCGCUGUUCACCCCGCGGAAUUAGGGGUUGGGGGCAGUUCCCCGCAAAUGGUAAGAUGAAGAGGCCUGAGCAGUUUCGUGGAGGGGAAGAAACAGGAAAACCUCUUCACAAGACAAAAAGCUGGCACUGCAUUCUCUCUCUGUAGCAGCAGGACAGAACUGUCUAAAGACAAGACCCCUUUGGCCAAAAUAAAGGAACCUGAAACAUU
rnacentral:lncRNA from 1 species